GGAUGCGAUCAUACCAGCACUAAAGCACCGGAUCCCAUCAGAACUCCGUAGUUAAGCGUGCUUGGACGAGAGUAGUACUAGGAUGGGUGACCUCCUGGGAAGUCCUCGUGUUGCAUUCC
rnacentral:rRNA from 1 species